rnacentral:rRNA from 1 species
UACGGAGAGUGCAAACGUUGUUCGGAUUCACUGGGCGUAAAGGGCACGUAGGCGGCUCGGCAAAUCGGUCGUGGAAUCCCGACGCUUACCGUCGGAACGGCGGCCGAAAAUACCGGGCUCGAGGGCGUGAGGGGUCACUGGAACUCCUGGUGAAGCGGUGAAAUGCGUAGAUAUCGAGAGGAACACCUGCGGCGAAGGCGGGUUGCUGGGCUGACACUGACGCUGAAGCGCGAAAGCUAGGGGAGCGAACGGG